rnacentral:rRNA from 1 species
GGGGGGGGGGGGGGGGGGGGGUGGGGGGGGGGGGGGGGGGGGGGGCGGGGGGGGGGGUGGCGGGCGGGUGCGGAGGGGGGGGGAACGUGGCGGUAGGGGCGGAAUGACUCCGCGAGAGGGGUGCUAGGGCCGGAUCAUGGCGUCGGAACAAAGAUUUAUCGCCUGGGGAUGGGCCCGCGUUGGAUUAGCUAGGUGGGAGGGUAAAAGCCUACCACGGCGACGAUCCAUAGCUGGUCUGAGAGGAUGAUCAGCCACACUGGGCCUGACAAACGGCCCAGACUCCUACGGGAGGCAGCAGUGGGGAAUAUUGGACAAUGGGCGAAAGCCUGAUCCAGCAAUGCCGCGUGAGUGAUGAAGGCCUUAGUGUUGUAAAGCUCUUUUACCCGUGAUGAUAAUGACAGUACCGGGAGAAUAAGCUCCGGCUAACUCCGUG